rnacentral:lncRNA from 1 species
CUGUUAUAUUACUGUCAUACCCAAAAUACCAUUAUUUGUCUCCAUUGGCUCAUUUCAAGGUGUAUGUAUGUGAUCUCAAUCUUAGGAUAUUUUGUCAUGUGUCCCAGAUUAAAUGUUAAUUUUGAGAUCAAAUACAAACUUUGUGCCUGUCCCAAGUCAGGAGCCUUUAAUUCAGUGGUUGUUGUUUGUUUAUGGGUUACAUAUUUGUUUUUCGUUCAUUUUUCAAAAUAAAUAAGGCCGCUAGUUUUUUCGCUUGAAUUGUUUUAUUGUCAUUUCGAUGCCUUUUAUAGCUGACUAUGCAGUAUGGGCUUUGCUCAUUGUUGAAAGCCGUACAGUUACCUAAAGUUGUUAAUGUCUGUCAUUUUGGUCUCUUGUGGAGAGGUGUCUCAUUUGGCAAUAAUACCACAUCUUCUUUUUUAAAUUUGAUAUAGGAUAAAACGUUGGAUUUUUUUGGGGUUUGGCAUCCCUUCGUUGCCUGAAACACACUGAUCAGAGGCCUAAAACUUCCAAAAAUAGUGUAAACUCACAGGCAUAUAACUACUGAUUGUGUUUUUUAUUGAAAUACACAUAGGAAAUGACUACUUCUGGUUGCAGGUCAAGUUAUGUAAUCAAAGAGAAUGAUUGCUCUGAGGGAUACGAUUGCUAUUGUUUUCAUUGAUAUUAGUAUUAUUCUCAAAAAUUAUUCAACUGCACAUGUAAAAUAUACCUGUGUUCCACAGGCACUUGUUUCUGCCAAUGUGGGGUGUACUAUCCACAUUGACAAGAAACAAGUGCCUGUGCUGUUUUCUCUAUUUGAUUUACGUAAUCUGAACAGUUUUUCAACUUUAAAAAUAGCCAAUCCUUGAUACAAGUGUAUGAACAAUGUAUCUAUUUAUAUGGAUAGUCAACCUUCAUAUCGUUAGAAACAAGUGCCUGUGACUGAGAGUGAAAGAAGGUAUCUCACUUUGUACCGUAUCACCUAUUUUCUUACGUGAAUUCUAGAAGGAACCCCAUUUCUAACUCUUUAAAUAUUUAAUUUCCUUCAGGUCAGUGGGCAUGACUCCUUUCCGUACACAUUCCUCUGUUUAAAUUGCAAUCACUUUUAAUAUAAUAUGACGUCUAUCGACAGAACAAGUUAAUUUUCCUCGACGUAUUGUCAUAUUUUGAUUUUGAAUUGACGCAAGUAUACAUAUUUACGUUGUGGACUACAUUUAUUUUGAAUUAAAUGUUGCAUAUGAUUUAAAAUUAUACAACAACAAUAACUCCCAAUAGCAGACAGACAAAGAAAAGAUUUCAUCAUUUUCAUGACUUCAAAUUAAUCAAUGGAGUGGGGAAUCCAGAGUACACAUGCGCAUAAUUACCAAAACAAACCUAGACUUAUGAUUUGUAGCAAGGACGUAUAUUGAAUGUUAAUCAAACGACCUAGAUGGUUUUCCAUUUCUUUAUGGAAGUUCAAUAUUAAAUAUCAGUUUCAUAACAGUGACAUAGAAGAAAAACUUCACUUCAGUUCUUUUCUGACAGAAAUAGAUUUAUCGGAAUUCAGAGACCUCUUGCAUUUU